AAUAUUAUCAUUUUCAGUCUACCAGCACACGGUGUACCGGCUGGAUGCAAGAUGUGUUUUGAGGGCCGGCAAAAAGGUAUUUUAGAAUACCUCUUUUCGAAGUAUAUAUGGUUUCUUUCCUUCUCUGUGUGCCAGCCUCGAACCCAUAACCUUUGGGAUCGAGCGUGUUUAACUCAAACCAACAGGCUACAAGGAAGGCUGGC
rnacentral:lncRNA from 1 species